rnacentral:tRNA from 1 species
GUGCCUGUAGCUCAGCGGAUAGAGCGUUGGCCUCCGGAGCCAAAGGUCUGGGGUUCGAAUCCCCGCAG